CAUGUCUAAGUAUAAGCACUCAUACUGCGAAACUGCGAAUGGCUCAUUAAAUCAGUUAUCGUUUAUUUGAUAGUACCUUUACCUGGAUAACCGUGGUAAUUCUAGAGCUAAUACAUGCUAAAAAUCCCGACUUCGGAAGGGAUGUAUUUAUUAGAUAAAAAACCAAUGCCCUUCGGGGCUCCUUGGUGAUUCAUAAUAACUCAACGAAUCGCAUGGCCUUGCGCCGGCGAUGGUUCAUUCAAAUUUCUGCCCUAUCAACUUUCGAUGGUAGGAUAGUGGCCUACCAUGGUCUCAACGGGUAACGGGGAAUUAGGGUUCGAUUCCGGAGAGGGAGCCUGAGAAACGGCUACCACAUCCAAGGAAGGCAGCAGGCGCGCAAAUUACCCAAUCCCGAUACGGGGAGGUAGUGACAAUAAAUACUGAUACAGGGCUCUUUUGGGUCUUGUAAUUGGAAUGAGUACAAUCUAAAUCCCUUAACGAGGAACAAUUGGAGGGCAAGUCUGGUGCCAGCAGCCGCGGUAAUUCCAGCUCCAAUAGCGUAUAUUAAAGUUGUUGCCGUUAAAAAGCUCGUAGUUGAACCUUGGGCCUGGCUGAUCUGUCCUCCUAAUCGAGCGCACGGAUUCGGUCGGGUCUUUCCUUCUGGGGAGCCGCAUGCCCUUCACUGGGCGUGUCGGGGAACCAGGACUUUUACCUUGAAAAAAUUAGAGUGUUCAAAGCAGGCCUUUGCUCGAAUACAUUAGCAUGGAAUAAUAGAAUAGGACGGAGGUUCUAUUUUGUUGGUUUCUAGGACCGCCGUAAUGAUUAAUAGGGAUAGUCGGGGGCGUCCGUAUUCAAUUGUCAGAGGUGAAAUUCUUGGAUUUAUUGAAGACGAACUACUGCGAAAGCAUUCGCCAAGGAUGUUUUCAUUAAUCAGUGAACGAAAGUUAGGGGAUCGAAGACGAUCAGAUACCGUCGUAGUCUUAACCAUAAACUAUGCCGACUAGGGAUCGGACGGUGGUUUUUUUAUGCCCCGUUCGGCACCUUACGAGAAAUCAAAGUGUUUGGGCUCGGGGGGAGUAUGG
rnacentral:rRNA from 1 species